UGGUGUGCCUGAUGGACAGCUCUGCAGCACUAAAGUGCUUAUAGUGCAGGUAGUGUCUCGGGAUCUACUGCAUCGUGAGCACUUACAGUGCUGCCGGCUGUAGAGCGCCAGCGCCGGCCGCCGCCAGUCACGCUGCCCUGUCACUGAGCACUGCUCUAUGGUUAGUUUUGCAGGUUUGCAUCCAGCUGUGUAAUAUUCUGCUGUGCAAAUCCAUGCAAAACUGACUGUGGUGGUGAAAAGUCUGUAGAGAAUUAAGGGAAAAUCAAACCCCUUUCUACACAGGUUGGGAUUUGUUGCAAUGCUGUGUUUCUGUAUGGUAUUGCACUUGUCCCGGCCUGUUGAGUUUGGUGGGGAUUGUGACCAGAAGAUUUGAAAAUCAAAUAUUGCUCAAGAUGCCGAUUUCCACUGUAAAAUGUUCCAAGAAAUACGAAGUACAGAGAAACUCUGACAUCUAAUUUACUCAUCAUUGUAAAGCACAUAACUGCUUCUUGAAGUCAAGUGUUUUGUGUAACUAGAAUGUUUCAUUUGUGCAUGUUAGGCUUUUAAAUGUUGCCCUUUUUGUGGAGUUAGACUUGGCUAGGAAGUAUUCCAUUAUGAUUGUGAACAGGCUUCUGUAAAUGCAUAACACCUGAUAGUUAACAUCUUUUUGGUUCUUUCGACCUAGUGUGAUGCUCAGAACUUUACUUAAUCUAACUUGAUAACUUACAAAGUAUCAGUCAAUGAUUUAAGAGGACAAAAAUGUCACUUUAUUAAAAUCCAUGUGUAUAGAGAAUUUUUAAAAGCAUGGUACUUAGAAUGAGACCCUUGGGAGUAAACAAAUGUAUUCUUAAUGCAUGAAUGAGCAAGUUACCUGGUUCUGUAUUCGUUUCUUUCUGUUACGUGUGUAUUCUGUAAAUACCCAGGACCCUCAGUCUGCUCUCACCACCUGGAACCUAAAGUCAGUUGGGAUUAAAGGAGCGACAAGACAAGGCUAUGCCAUUUGGAAUGAAGGGCAUGCACCUGAUUUAGGAAUGCCAGGAGUGGGCAUUGUAAUACUAACGUGUUACAGUCUUUUGCACAAGCUGGUCUUGGGCAGCACUGAGUGGUGUAUGUUACUAGGGUGGACCUGUAGAGCCAUCUCAUUGGAAAGGAUUAAGAAGUGGUUCCAGGCUGAGAUGCACUUUUCUUGAGCAGUAAGUUUGUGAAGCUAGAAACAGUCUUGGAUUCCUGUAUAAAAAGGCAUGCUACCUAAGCUCAGGAAGCCAGUCUUGGAUUGCCAUGAAGACUCACAAGUACUACACAAGUGAUAAAAUGCAGCCUGCAGCUUCCUGGAGGACCAUCAGCGUCACAGUGUGUGUUUAAUGGAAUUCUGUUUUGUGAUUGUUUUGUGGAGAAUUAACAGCUGAGCAGUAAGUGAGAGCUUAGUAUGCAAGGCCCAUAUUAGGUGUCUUGACUAGAAGGAAGCAUCAUUCUCCCUUGAAGUUUUCCAGAUUAUUCCAUUGCUUACAGGUGAUUAUUUUACUAUCUCAGUCUGAAUUAUGCUUUACUUUCAUGUUUGAACAAAGUCAAAUCAAGGUGCAUUAGUUUUAAAAUGUUAAGAAAAUAAACAUAGGCCCAUAUGAAUUUUAAAGCACAAUAAAAUUGUUAAAACAUUUUCGUUUUCUUUCCCAAAUAAUCAGACACAUGUGGAAAUGCAGCAUUAAUGGGUGUCUAAUGAAGCUUUUUCAUUUUGGCCAUGCUGCUUGAAUUUUUUUAUGCACUUGAUGUUAAUAAAGUACUGUUUAAAAUUGUUAAAUAUAAAAAACAAGCAAAGUUUAUUAAAUAAAGUUGUCUUUAACAGUU